rnacentral:rRNA from 1 species
UACGAAGGGGGCUAGCGUUGUUCGGAAUUACUGGGCGUAAAGGGCGCGUAGGCGGCCUGUUAAGUUAGGAGUGAAAGCCCCGGGCUCAACCUGGGAAUUGCUCUUGAUACCGGCAGGCUCGAGUUCCGGAGAGGAUGGUGGAAUUCCCAGUGUAGAGGUGAAAUUCGUAGAUAUUGGGAAGAACACCGGUGGCGAAGGCGGCCAUCUGGACGGACACUGACGCUGAGGCGCGAAAGCGUGGGGAGCAAACAGG